rnacentral:rRNA from 1 species
AUUCAGCAGCCGCGGUAAUACAGAGGGUGCAAACGUUGUUCGGAAUCACUGGGCAUAAAGCGCACGUAGGCGGUUCGGUAAGUCAGAUGUGAAAGCCCCCGGCUCAACCGGGGAACUGCAUUUGAAACUGCCUGACUCGAGGACGGUAGGGGUGAGUGGAACUCCAGGUGGAGCGGUGAAAUGCGUAGAUAUCUGGAGGAACACCGGUGGCGAAAGCGGCUCACUGGACCGUAUCUGACGCUGAGGUGCGAAAGCUAGGGUAGCAAACGGGAUUAGAUACCCCGGUAGUCCUAGCCGUAAACGAUGGGCACUGGGUAGGGGAGAUACCUAUGGUCUUCUCUGCCGAAGCUAAUGUAUUAAGUGCCCCGCCUGGGGAGUACGCUCGCAAGAGUAAAACUCAAAGGAAUUGACGGGGGCUCACACAAGCGGUGGAGCAUGUGGUUUAAUUCGAAGCAACGCGAAGAACCUUACCUGGCCUUGACAUGCAUGGAUUAGCCCUGUGAAAGCAGGGUGACAGCUCUUCGGAGUCGGAACAUGUGCAGGUGUUGCAUGGCUGUCGUCAGCUCGUGUCGUGAGAUGUUGGGUUAAGUCCCGUAACGAGCGAAACCCUUAUUGUUAGUUGCCAGCGGGUAAUGCCGGGGACUCUAGCGAGACUGCCGUUGUCAAAACGGAGGAAGGUGGGGACGACGUCAAGUCAUCAUGGCCCUUAUGGCCAGGGCGACACACGUGCUACAAUGGUAUGUACAGAGGGAUCCGAAGCCGCGAGGUAGUGGAAAUCCCUUAAAGCAUGCCCCAGUUCGGAUUGCAGGCUGAAAUUCGCCUGCAUGAAGCCGGAAUCGCUAGUAAUCGCGUAUCAGCCAUGACGCGGUGAAUAUGUUCCUGAGCCUUGUACACACCGCCCGUCAAGCCACGAAAGCGGGGAGUGCUCGAAGUCGUAUUGUCCAACCUUCGGGAGGGCAGCGCCGAGAGCAAGCUCCGUGAUUGGGACUAAGUCGUAACAAGGUAACCAAU